rnacentral:rRNA from 1 species
UACGUAGGCAGCGAGCGUUGUUCGGAGUUACUGGGCGUAAAGGGUGUGUAGGCGGUUGUUUAAGCUUGGUGUGAAAUCUCCCGGCUCAACUGGGAGGGUGCGCCGAAUACUGAAUGACUUGGAGUGCGGGAGAGGAGAGUGGAAUUCCUGGUGUAGCGGUGAAAUGCGUAGAUAUCAGGAGGAACACCGGUGGUGUAGACGGCUCUCUGGACCGUAACUGACGCUGAGACGCGAAAGCGUGGGGAGCAAACAGG